rnacentral:rRNA from 1 species
UACAGAGGGUGCUAGCGUUGUUCGGAAUCAUUGGGCGUAAAGGGCGUGUAGGCGGUUUGUUAAGUCAUGUGUGAAAUCCCUCGGCUCAACCGGGGAACGACGCAUGAAACUGGCAAGCUAGAGUACCAAAGAGGGGGGGUGGAAUUCCCGGUGUAGCGGUGAAAUGCGUAGAUAUCGGGAGGAAUACCAGUGGCGCAAGCGGCGCCCUGGCCGUGACCUGACACUGAGCCACGACGGCGUGGGGAGCAAACGGG